rnacentral:rRNA from 1 species
UGAGGAAUAUUGGUCAAUGGUCGCAAGACUGAACCAGCCAUGCCGCGUGCAGGAAGACGGUCCUAUGGAUUGUAAACUGCUUUUAUACAGGAAGAAACCCUCCCACGUGUGGGAGCUUGACGGUACUGUAGGAAUAAGGAUCGGCUAACUCCGUGCCAGCAGCCGCGGUAAUACGGAGGAUCCAGGCGUUAUCCGGAAUCAUUGGGUUUAAAAGGGGUCCGUAGGCGGUCUUAUAAGUCAGUGGUGAAAGCCCAUCGCUCAACGAUGGAACUGCCAUUGAUACUGUAAGACUUGAAUGCUUAGGAAGUAACUAGAAUAUGUAGUGUAGCGGUGAAAUGCUUAGAUAUUACAUGGAAUACCAAUUGCGAAGGCAGGUUACUACUAAGUGAUUGACGCUGAUGGACGAAAGCGUGGGGAGCGAACAGGAUUAGAUACCCUGGUAGUCCACGCCGUAAACGAUGGAUACUAGCUGUUCGGCGCAAGUUGAGUGGCUAAGCGAAAGUGAUAAGUAUCCCACCUGGGGAGUACGCACGCAAGUGUGAAACUCAAAUGAAUUGACGGGGUCAUAGCUGUUUCCUG